GAUGAACGCUAGCUACAGGCUUAACACAUGCAAGUCGAGGGGUAACGAGAGGAAAGCUUGCUUUCCUUGUCGACGACCGGCGCACGGGUGAGUAACGCGUAUCCAACCUGCCCCCAACUAAGGAAUAACCUUGCGAAAGUAAGACUAAUACCUUAUAAUUUCCUCAGAUGUCAUCUGACGAGGAAUAAAGAUUUAUCGGUUGUGGAUGGGGAUGCGUCUGAUUAGCUUGUUGGCGGGGUAACGGCCCACCAAGGCAACGAUCAGUAGGGGUUCUGAGAGGAAGGUCCCCCACAUUGGAACUGAGACACGGUCCAAACUCUUACGGGAGGCAGCAGUGAGGAAUAUUGGUCAAUGGGCGGAAGCCUGGACCAGCCAAGUAGCGUGCAGGAUGACGGCCCUAUGGGUUGUAAACUGCUUUUAUACAGGAAUAAAGUUAGCCACGUGUGGUUAUUUGUAGGUACUGUAUGAAUAAGGACCGGCUAAUUCCGUGCCAGCAGCCGCGGUAA
rnacentral:rRNA from 1 species